rnacentral:rRNA from 1 species
AGUGGAUGGGGAGCAACCUAGUUGUGCGUGUGUAAAGGUAGUGCCAAGAAAAGCGAUGAUCAUGUUGAAAAUCAAUUCCCGGUACCCGAAACCGACACAGGUGGGCAAGUAGAGAAUACUAAGGGGCGCGAGGUAACUCUCUCCAAGGAACUCGGCAAAAUGACCCCGUAACUUAGGGAGAAGGGGUGCCACCGAGAGGUGGUCGCAGUGAAGAGGCCCAGGCGGCUGUUUAGCAAAAACAUAGGUCUCUGCAAACUCGAAAGAGGAGGUAUAGGGGCUGACGCCUGCCCAGUGCCGGAAGGUUAAAGAAGUUGGUCAGUCUUAGGAUGAAGCUAGCGACUGAAGCCCCGGUGAACGGCGGCCGUAACUAUAACGGUCCUAAGGUAGCGAAAUUCCUUGUCGGGUAAGUUCCGACCCGCACGAAAGGCGUAACGAUCUGGGCGCUGUCUCGGAGAGAGGCUCGGCGAAAUAGGAUUGUCUGUGAAGAUACGGACUACCUGCAUUUGGACAGAAAGACCCUAUGAAGCUUUACUAUAGCUUGAAAUUGUGUUCGGGCUUCCUGUGCGCAGGAUAGGUGGGAGGCGCAGAAGGUAUUCUUGUGGGGAUACUGGAGCCAACGGUGAGAUACCACUCUCAGGAGGCUAGAAUUCUAACUUAAUUAAGGACAGUUUCAGGUGGGUAGUUUGACUGGGGCGGUCGCCUCCAAAAAGGUAACGGAGGCGUACAAAGGUUCCCUCAGACUGGUUGGAAAUCAGUCGAAGAGUGCAAAGGCAGAAGGGAGCUUGACUGCGAGAAGUACAGUUCGAGCAGGGUGGAAACACGGUCUUAGUGAUCCGACGGUGCUGUGUGGAAGGGCCGUCGCUCAACGGAUAAAAGUUACUCUAGGAUAACAGGCUGAUCUCCCCCAAGAGUUCACAUCGACGGGGAGGUUUGGCACCUCGAUGUCGGCUCAUCGCAACCUGGGGCGGAAGUACGUCCCAAGGGUUGGGCUGUUCGCCCAUUAAAGCGGUACGUGAGCUGGGUUCAGAACGUCGUGAGACAGUUCGGUCCAUAUCCGAUGUAGGCGUGAGAAUAUUGAGAGGAGCCUUCCUUAGUACGAGAGGACCGGGAAGGACGCACCGCUGGUGUACCUGUUAUGAUGCCAAUUGUAAACGCAGGGUAGCCAAGUGCGGAGAGGAUAACCGCUGAAAGCAUCUAAGUGGGAAGCCCACCUCAAGAUGAGUAUUCUGGUGUAAGGUCACGGGAAGACGACCCGUAAAUAGGCACGAGGUGGAAGUGCAGAGAUGUAUGAAGCCGAAGUGUACUAAUAGACCGUCGGCUUGACC